rnacentral:rRNA from 1 species
UACGUAGGUGGCAAGCGAUACUCGGAAUCACUAGGCGUAAAGCGCAGGUAGGCGGUUCGGUAAGUCUUUUGUGAAAGCUCCUGGCUUAACUGGGAGAGGUCAAAGGAAACUGCCGGGCUAGAGUUUGGUAGGGGAUACUGGAAUUCCUGGUGUAGCGGUGAAAUGCGUAGAUAUCAGGAGGAAUACCUAUGGCGAAAGCAGGUAUCUGGGCCACAACUGACGCUGAGCUGCGAAAGCUAGGGGAGCAAACAGG